rnacentral:rRNA from 1 species
AUGUCCAGGGUGGUACUACUAGUAGUGGUGAAAUCGAACCCAGAGUCCAGGCAGACAUGGCCGGCCGGCCGGCGGUCAGUCGAAGCGGCGGCCGCGCCAGGCGGAGACGGAGAAGAGGGCGCGGUCCUGCCAGCACAGGAAGAAGGUGCCCUUCUCCUCGCGGACCUUGAAGCCGUCGCAGCCCAGCCCCUGCGCCGCCCGGCGGGCCUGCAGCAGCGCGUAGUAGCUCAGCGGGACGCGCCCGAAGCCGGCGCCCUCCAUGCGCGCCGCCCAGCGGUCCAGCCGCUCGUGCCGCUCGCGGCGGUCCGCGCCGUCGCAGGCCACGAUGUUCUUGAUCUCCUCGCCCAGGAGCCACCGCUCGACGCGCGCGCGCUCCACGGACCCGCGCGCCGCGCCCACCUCCAGGCAGUCGAACAGCGCCGCGUAGUAGUUGAGCGCCUCCACGAACCGCUCCGUCAGCCCCGCCGUGUUGUGGCUCGCCUCCUGCUCGCAAACCACCAUCACCUUGGGCGACAGCCCCCACAGCGCGCCCAGGAACGCGUCCGCCCGCGAGGUGGACGGGGACAGCAGCCCCGACGAGUCCGGGCUGCUCCGACGCCGCUCCUUGUCGGCUGGGGCGGCGGAGGAGGUGUCGUCGUCGGUGGCGAGCAGGCGGUGGAGCUGCAGGCUGGAGCUGAUGGCCAGCGCCUCGCCGGUCUUCACGCGGAGGGACUCCACGUCCAGCGCGUCCAGGCGGGACACCACCGGGUUGAACUGGAACGGCACGUCCAGCCGCUCCGCCUCCUUGGUGAGCGCCAUGGCCGUCUGCGAGAGCAGGUCCUUGUGCUCGUGCACGGCGGUGAGGCGGAAGUGGGGCGGGCCCUCGGGGCGCGCGGCGAGGAGGUGGAGCAGCUCGAGCCACUGCGUGGAGUCGGCGCCGCCGAGGUCGAUGACGUGGACGAUCUUCUCCGACUCCAUCGCCUCGAGGAUCGCCUGGUUGGCAGCUGCCCCGGCGAGGCGGAGGAAGGGGCAGAGGUCGAGGAAGUGGCGACGCGCGACGGCGACCUCGGCCGGCGUGGGGCCCGCGCGGGGCAGGAGCAGCGCCCGGCAGAGGCCGGGCCACGCACGGAGCGCGCGCCGGGCCAGCGCCUCCGCGAAGGCGGCGGCGACGCGCUGCAUGGCGUCGCCGUCGGGCGCGGCCAGGGUCGCGAUGUGCUCGAGCGCGGCGUUGGCGGCGUCGAGCCGGCCGGCGGAGGCGGCGGCGGCGCAGUUGAGCAGGAGGUGGAUGAGGCAGAGGCCGCGCUCGUCGGAGCGGAGCUCCCGGAGCAUCCAGGGCGGCGUGGCGCCGGCGCCAGGGUGCGGGUGGAGCGGCAUGUUGGAGAAGUUCUGGAGCGGGGAGGAGGUGACCGACGAGGAGGAGCCUUCGUCCUGGUGGACCAUCAGCCUCGCCAGCGCUGCCGCCCGCUCCGCUCGGCGUUCCCGCUCGGCUCACGAAGCUACCAGCAAAGUCGCUUCCUUUCCGUGUCUAUCUAUCUCUCCGAUGCCGGCCGUGGCGUGGUGGACGACGGAGGAUUUAUACGGCGGCGUCUCUGA